UAUGUAUCGCCGAGAUGGCCAGUCAAUUUGAGUAACGUUAUUGUGUAUUCUACGUAACGACGCAGUUUGACGUUAUCACGCAAUCACGUCACAACGUAAUUUAGCAGCUUUUAGCAACAAAUCAACCUACUUCUAGCAAUUUACCCUGAAAAUUAGUUGGCAACACUGGUUGUCAUCAUACCAGUUGGAGAAGGUGAAGUGCUGAUCAAGGGGGAGCGUGGUCUGAUUGGAAUGUGACGGAAUAUGGCGGAAACUGAGGUUUUGUUUGAAACUGUUAGUGAGUCGGGUGAUGCUAAUAGUACAGAAAGUGAGAAUGAGUGGCGAAGAAAAAGGGAACCGAGAAGUAAAGCUAUGUUGGAAAAUAGGAAACCACUACAGUCGUUUUUAGUUGGAGUCAGGGUUUUGGAUCAAUGCUACUUGGGAAAUCUGUUUUAACGUCACCAAGAACAUCUGGAAUGUGUUGGAAGAAAGUGUGGAGUCGAAUGGCGCAAGAAAUAAAGGCAGAGAUAUAACUGAAGACAUCGAUGGAGUGCGUGGUGCAUGUUGACUGACCUGUAAGGUGGACGAAGAUUCAUCCAUCCAUUCACUUCAUCCAUGCUACUGUUCUUUGAUGAAGAGUCUCUCCCUUCGCAUGUAACGUUAGGAUUCAUGCGCUUUUGUGCACAAGCCCCUUCAGUGUCACAUUAAAUUCGUGCAUAUAUGUACAUAAUGCAUUUCAGCAAAUUUCGUGCGUUUUUGUGUGGCUUAAUUAAUGAAAAAAAAACACGAAUUUAUGUGCUUCUUAAAUCAUGCGAAAAGACACAUUUAACAAGUAGGCCACACACCUUAGCACAAGCCUUAGCAACAACCAUAUAGACGCGAUAGUUUAUAUUUCAUUUUUGUUCUUCUUAAUGGCUAAUUCAACGUUAAGAAUAUACAGAAAGGUUGUCUUUGUUUAACCAUGUUUUAAAAUGUGUCGUUGUAUGCCUAUAUGUACUGUUUUAGACUUGCUGAACAGAAUUAUUGAGAAAAGACGCACAUUUACGUGCGACUUAAUUCGUGGGGAAAAUUGUUUUAUUAAUGCCAAUGCUGUUUUCUAUUCUUGAAUUCGCGUAAUACCUUGGGAUACUGGUGCACUUGUAAUCAGAAGGCCUUUUUGUCAUGUAGGCAACAGUACACGAUUUUAUAAAUAACCCAUUUCAUA